UCAGCCUCUUCCCCAGCCUCGGUUUCUCUCCCAUUGCCAAAGCACAAUGGCUGUUAUAAUUAACGGAUUAUCUCAGUGCGACAGCUGUGGUCCUUUGAAAAUUGGGUUGAAUAACAAGAUCCUGGCGUAUGGUAAUUUCUUUUCAUCCCCCUGCUCUCUUUCCCUCUCCCUCACUUCAGCCUUGUUAUGCAUGCAAAUGCUUUUCCCUUUUCCUCCUUCCCAAACACCUUCCUCCUCCGGAGGGCAAGGGGACAGCCUAGAUUCUGCUUUCUGGUGAAAGAGUGGAGGGAACCCACCCUCCGGGGGUCCCUCCCGUGGGCCUGGCACUGGGCAAAGAGCCCGCGGCAUGUGACUUCUGCGAUCCCCCCCUGCCAGGCAGGGCAGCCCCAAGUCCCUACACCUCACUUCCCCUCCCGCUCCCCCCACAACAGGCUCUUCUGCAGGGACCUCCCCUGAGGUCCGGAUCCUGGCCCCCUGCACCCCCCAAACCUGCUCCCCGCCCCCACCCGGCACCCCGGUCCCUCCCAAGGCUCCUGCUAUCUGCUGGGUGCUGACCUUGCCCAACCCCCCACCCCCACCCCCGCUGCCUCCUGGACCCCUCCACUGCCCACCCGCUCCCGGCCUCUGCUUCUGCCCCGAGCCAGCCAGAAGCCCGCAGCUGCCCGGCCCCUCCACACCUGGAAAGCUGUUGUGUACAUCCUCCCACUGCUCUGCGCUGUCUCGGCCUCCUUCCUCGCCCAAAAUCUCGAUCAGCAUCCUCACUGGUCUCUCUGUCUCCAAUCUUACGGCCUCCUUCAACCCUUCCUCCACCCAGCGGAGGGUGGGCCUCCUGAAGCAUAAAUCGGAGCGUGGCACUCCCCUCCUCAAAAGCCUUCGCUGGCUCCCUACUGAUCUGGGAAGACUGCCAUAGGAGGCAUCGGAAGCCAGCCCCCCCCCCCCCCCGCCCGGGGACCUGCAGAGCUGGGUCCAGCUCCCCUCUCCUGCCCUCCUGCCUCUUCAGCCCAGCAAACCAGUCUGGUUGGGGUCCCUCCUGCGGGGUUCCCACAGCCCCCAGGUUUCUUCCAUCACCACCAGAAGCACAACUGUUGCUUUCAUUCCCCGGACUGAGUUCUCUGAGGAAGGGCCAGAUUCUCCAUUAAAGCCCAGCGCCAGGCACCCACUGGGUGCUCACUAAAUACCUAUUAAUGACCGAAUGAAGGAGGCCUGCUCUCUCCCUUUACGGACAAGGAAACCCAGGCUCAGAGUAAUGAACGACUUGCUCAAGAUCCUGACCAUUCGUGCAGGACAAAACCAGGAUGGGCACCCGGGCCUGCGACGCCAGUGCGCAUCCUGGAGAGGGCUGUAGGGGGCCGCCUUCCGCAGGCAUCUCAGGGAAACUGACUCUCCCUCCAGCGUCAGCCGGGGGCAGCAAGACGAGAGCUCCCGGCUCAGACCGUCACCUCCGCCGAGUGUGACCUUGGACUAGCCACGUGACGCCCGGGGCCUCAGCCUGCUCAUCUGUAAAGUGGGAAGGGAAGCCCGGCUCACCCCCUUCUCAAGAGGGGGGCAGACACCCGGGUCUUGGAGGAAGCCCCUCCUAACGACAUCUGGGCGUCUUCCCACCCUCACCUCCAAGCCCCGGCCGCGCUGCCCGUGGCAGGCACUCCUCAGAGCUUGGGGGGGCCCCUAGGAUGGCGAGUAUCAUACGGAAAAGAGACCCUCUUCGGUGAGAGCCGGUGAGAGAAGCACAGGGGUUCAGGGUAUGACCCUGGGGGGCGGAGCUUCCCUCUCUCAGCCUCUGUGUCCUCGUCCGUGAACGGGGUCCACUAGCGCCCACGUUAUAGGGGUGCAACGGGGCCUGAUGCUGCAAAGUGCCCCGCACGGUGCAGACGCAGCCGUGGCCAUAAGGUUCUACGGAACCUUAGCGUACCCCAGGGGGAAGGAGAGGAGAAGGGGGUGGGGGGCAGGACAAAGCAGGACCGUCUGUCCCUGACUCCACCCUCCACAGCCCACAGAAUAGAGCUCACACCCCGAUGUGUAGCCCUUGGGCCCCUCCCCUCCCCCCCCCAGCGGAGACCCCCACCACGUCCUCCCUUCGUAACCUAUGCGGUUGCAUGGCUGCCCAACUACGUGUCCUCUGGGCCUUGGCUCGUGCUGUUCCUGAGCCUGGGGUGCCAUUCCCACCCUUCCCCACCUCCUGUGGCCCAGACCUCACGCCUCUUCCUCCGGAAAGCCUUCGGGCUGCCUCUGUGCGGGGAGAGUAGUGGUCUCCCUGCUCUGGCCCCCACCCCCUGAUUCCGUCCCCAUGGAAUCCUGGAAGGAUCCUAGAGAUCAUCUCACCCCACCUCGCCUCCCCCCACCCCAGUUUAUAGAGAGGGAAACUGAGGCACAGGCGAGGGACAGCAGCUCUCCAGGGAGGCACUGGAACCCAGGCAGCGCGGCCCUGGCAAAGUCAUCCCACCCCUAGGGCCUCGACGACCUCGUGUGUCCGGGGGAGAGGACGCUCCAGUCCCUACGGGCUCUGAGGACCGCUUGUGGCGAGGGCCGGAAGAGACGCGAGGAGCGUAAACACGGACUCCCAGCUCACAAGCACGGAAUGCUCAGUGCCUGACCCGCAAAGCCGGCCAGGCUGGCAGGGGGUGUGCCUUUCAGGGCCCAGACCGCAGAGACCCGGGAAGGAAAAGAGGAGGACACAAGACAGCCUCCCCCUGAGCGCACGUGGGACCGUUUGGCUGUGCCUCUGUUCCCUGGCCUGGAGCCCGGGAGCGGCGGGGCAGGGGCCUAGACAGCAACCAGCCAUUCACUCACUCAGCCACUCACUCCACCAGCCUUCCUGUGGGUUCCUCCUGCUGGGAGCCCAGGACCCACAGCCAAGAGACAGCCUCGGGCGGGGGGCCUCAGGAGGAGCCCGAGAGAGGGCACCUCUCCCCGGCCCCCCCUGCCCCCGCCCAGGUAGGCUCCAUCCUCUUGUUCCUAUGCCCCAUCCCAGCUUGCAUCACGGGGGAAACUAGCUUCACGCCUGCCUCCUGCCUAGACCGUGACCUUGUCAAGGACAGGGGGGGGGGGGUCUCAUUCACCCUGUAAACCCAGGGUCCGGCAGGGCGCCCAGGAGACCCUCCAUAAAAGUUCACAGGCUCUGGGGCGCCUGGGUGGUUCAGCCGGGGAAGCAUCCGACUUUUCAGGCCAUGACCUCCCAGUGUGUGAGUUCGAGCCCCGCGUCGGGCUCGCCGCUGUCGGCACAGAGCCUGCUCUGGAUCCUCGGUGCCCCCCUCUCUGUCUCUGCCCGCCCCCACUCUCACGGGUUCUUUCUUGCUCUCAAAAAUAAACAUUAGAAAAAAAAAUGUUCGCAGGCUCGAAGGCUGAAGAAGGUGUCAGGGGAGCAUAAAAAGGGCACCCGUGCACAGGGCCGUGACAUGGGCCUGGGGCAGGUGGGAAGGCAGGGGGGAGCUCACUGCGCCCGGCACCAACUGCGUGCCAGCCUUGCACACUU